rnacentral:misc_RNA from 1 species
CAUGCUGUUGAAGUUAUAAUUUUUUUUUUUUUUUUUUUUUUUUUUUUUUUUUUUUUUUUUUUUUUUUUUUUUUUUUUUUUUUUUUUUUUUUUCGUUCUCAAUUCGACUGUAUUUUUUUUUUUUUUUUUUUUUAUGUAUGUUACAUCAGAACUUUUGAUCGGGUAGACCGAUUUCGACAAAUUUUAUUUUAAUCGAAAGGUGGUGUGUGCCAAUUGGUCCCAUUUAAAUUUAUUUGAGAUCUAACAACUACUUUUCGAGUUAUAGGUAUCUAAUAAUGCGUUUUUACUUGACGCUUUUUUCGUCGACCUACGUUGUAUUAUACCGCAUAACUUUCUACUAGAUGUACCGAUUUUGAUAAUUCUUUUUUUUGUUGGAAAGAAGAUAUCCCUAGUUUGGUACCAUGAUAAGGAAA